rnacentral:rRNA from 1 species
AUGGCCAUGGCUUUGGCAAUAUUCAAUGAAUAUGCGGGGGUGCUUUCCAACGUCAAUGCAUGUCGCGAAUUCUUCAGCUGGACUGCAUCAGUUAUAACGGCCACUCGUUCUUCACGGAACACCUCAGAGUUGCCAGGUGAAGACAAGACAGCUGCCCAACAACAGACUGAAGAGGAAAUUGAGCGGCUGAAGGAUGAUCUUUGGAAGCUGGAGACAACAAUGCCCAAGAUGCUUGACCUCAUUGAUCGGGUCGAAUACCAAAGCCAUAAGAAACAAGCGGCUGAUCUCCUCCCGCAUAUCAAGGAUGCAGUCUUCGAAGCGGAGGACCUGCUUGACGAGCUUGAUUAUGAUGCACUCAAGUGGAAAGUUGAGUGCAGCAAGAAUUUGGGGCUAGACCAAUUGCGUGAUACUUGUCUGGAAUUCUACGGCAGUGUCAGAUCUAAUGAUUACAUCAGAAAAGUCAACAGAAUUCAAAAAAAUCUAGAUCAUGUCCAUAAGCAGUCCAUGGAAAUGGGCUUGCACCAAGCACCUCUAAAGUUUGAUAAAUCAGUUAGGCCAGAAACAACUUCCUACUUUAACUGUGAAGAAAAAAUGAUUGGCCGUGAAAAAGAAAUGAAGGAGUUUGUGGGAAAACUAGGAGUUCAUUCACGGAAGAGAGGAAGGACUGAAAGCAAAGCAAGAAUGACCCAGUUGCAUGUGUUUUCCAUUGUUGGGAUGGGAGGGGUUGGAAAGACAACUAUGGCCCAACACAUUUGCAAGGAUACAAAUGUGAAGAAUCACUUUGGCGCCAAAAAUAUAAUUUGGACAUGUGUUUCAGAUGACUUUGACAUAAAACGGUUAACGAAAGACAUUGUAGAGCGCCUGGGAGGAGAUGCUUCAUCUAAUAGUCUGGAAGUUCUUAUGGGUAAAUUAGAAGGCUGUGUCAAGUCCAAAAAGUUCUUACUUGUCCUUGAUGACAUGUGGGAUGAUAUCUUGAAGGAUGAUGGGGUGGAAUGGAAGAGGUUUUGUGCGCCUUUGAAAAAUGGCGUUAAAGGAAGUAGGAUUUUGGUCACCACUAGAUCGCCCGAGGUUGCUAAGCUAGUUGGCCCUAUGAAUAAUUAUGAGUUAAAGGGCUUAAAAGACGGGGUAUUCUUGGAGUUCUUCAAAUUCUGUGCAUUUGGAUCCAGGACUUUGUGCAACAACAUGGAGUCGUUGGAGCGCAUUGGUGAAAUAAUUGUUCCAAAGUUGAAGGGUUCCCCAUUGGCUGCCAAGACUAUUGGACGCUUGCUGAGAAUGGAUCUAAGUACAACACAUUGGGGAAAUAUAAUGGAAAGUGAACUGUGGCGAUUAGAACAAACAGAGACUGACAUUCUGCCAGCGCUUCGACUGAGUUAUAUGUACCUCCCGCAGAAAUUGAAGAGAUGCUUCUCAAUCUGUGCAAUGUUUCCCAAGGAUUACAAAUUUGCGAAGGAUUUUCUAGCUGACAUUUGGAUUGCACUAGGAUAUGUCGAGUCAGCCCAAGAAGCAUCAAUGUGCUUUGAUGCCCUUGCAAAUCGUUCGUUCUUUCAGAAAGCGUCACCACAUAGUGUUAAGUAUGUAAUUCAUGAUCUGAUGCAUGAUACAGCACAACUAGUCUCAAAGAAUGAGUGCUUCAUUAUAAAGCAUGCUAGUGACCUAGAUAAAGUUCCUUCAAACGUCCGUCAUCUGUCAAUAUUCACGAAUGGAGAUGUUCAGUGUUCUGAAUUGAAGAGCAUAUGUAACAAGAAAAAUCUGAGGUCCCUGGUGUGCGAUGAAUCAUACAGCAAAGCAAAAGAUUUUGAGUCUACGAUGGACUGUUGGUUCAAGGAACUAUUGAAAAUCCGCGUAUUUAGUUGUAAACUCUCCAAAGUAAGACAGCUACCUGAGAGCAUGGGCAAUUCAAAGCAUAUGCGUCACCUUUGUUUACUUGGAAGUUCUAAUUUCAGCACAUUUCCUUCAUCAGUUUAUCGUCUGCAUCAUCUCGAAGUUAUAGACCGUGGCAGUUCUGUUAUUGAAAUGUUUCCCCCAGACUUCAGCGAUGCCAUCAGCUUGCGGAAAAUCAAGUCAAAGAAUUUUGCUUAUAACAAGGGCCACUCUGGCAAACUCUCGCUAGAAUGGUGUCCGCAAAGUCCAGAGACGGCGAAGAUGAUGGAAGUAUUGCCUCAUUGGAAUCUCCAUCAUUUGCAUGUAGAGAAUUAUAGAGGUGAAUCUUGUCCUAGCUGGCUCCAGCCCAACCUCCUGCCAAUGCUACGUUCCCUUGAAUUUCAUUGGUGUGAAGUGAAGAGCAUACCAUUCUUUGUCCCGUUAGAUGUGUCACUUGACAGUACAUCACCUUCAGAUAACAUUAAUCGUCUUGAAGAGUUAGUCAUACAGUAUUGUAAGCAAAUCAGUUGGGAAGGCCCGAUGCUCUUGCCUACUUCUCUUAGAAAGCUAACCCUUGUGAGUUCGGGCUAUUCCAUGGAUCGCUUCGUGAGCUGCUUCCUUGACCUCACUUCCCUCACUUAUUUGGAAAUAGAAUACUGUGAAUCAUUGACAUCUAUUCCCCUGCAUGUGUGGAGAAGCAAUCUUCCAGCCCUGGAGGAACUAUAUAUUAAAAGUUGCGACAACCUUACAUCAAUAGUCUCUGAAGCUAGUGGUAGUAGCAGCAGCAGUGCUGUUACAGGAUUCUUAUCCCUUGCUAAGUUAAUGAUAGAGCGGUGCAGCAAAUUAUUGAGCUUGGAUGAAUUCCUGAAGCCAGAUUGUCUACCUGCUGUUAAUACCAUUCGGGUUUCCCAUUGUAGUGAGUUGAUGUCCCUCUCUGUUGAUGGGCUAGACGGGUUGCAGACUCUGGAAAUUUCCGACUGUCUAGGCCUCAAGUCCAUAGGUGGUGCAGCAGCGGUUGAUAAAAUAAAGGAAGUGUACAUAACGGGGUGCCUCCAGCUCAGCGAAAUACAACAGCCAAUCUUUCGUCGCUGGUAA